rnacentral:tRNA from 1 species
GGAACAUUGGUCUAUCGGUUUAUGAUGCCUCCCUGUCACGGAGGCGAGACGAGUUCGACUCUCGUAUGUUCCGCCA